UACGAAGGGUGCAAGCGUUACUCGGAAUUACUGGGCGUAAAGCGUGCGUAGGCGGUUUGUUAAGUCCGCUGUGAAAGCCCUGGGCUCAACCUGGGAAUUGCAGUGGAUACUGGCAAGCUAGAGUGCGGUAGAGGAUGGUGGAAUUCCUGGUGGAGCGGUGAAAUGCGCAGAUAUCAGGAGGAACACCCGUAGCGAAGGCGGCACUCUGGGCCGAUACUGACACUGAGGAGCGAAAGCGUGGGGAGCGAACAGG
rnacentral:rRNA from 1 species